AGAGAUGUGUGAUGACGCAUAUCAAUAAGCGGAGGAAAAGAAACUAACAAGGAUUCCCUUAGUAACGGCGAGUGAAGCGGGAAGAGCUCAAAUUUGAAAUCUUCAAGGUUCUACCUUGACGAAUUGUAGUUUAUAGAAGUGUUUUCUGUUAGUGGAGUGGCAAAAGUUCUUUGGAAUAGGACAUCAUAGAGGGUGAGAAUCCCGUAUUUGGUCAUUCCUCCUAGCGUUGUGAUACACUUUCAACGAGUCGGAUUGUUUGGGAAUGCAGUCCAAAAUGGGUGGUAAAUUUCAUCUAAAGCUAAAUAUUGGCGAGAGACCAAUAGCGAACAAGUACCGUGAGGGAAAGAUGAAAAGAACUUUGAAAAGAGAGUUAAACAGUACGUGAAAUUGCCAAAAGGGAAGCGUUUGACACCAGUGUUGUUUUUCCGAAAAUCAAUUACGAAUGUUUUGUUUUUGAGGAGUUAUGACUUCAUCGGCUUGCUCCUUUCUUUAUGAAACUUUCUUAAUGCACUUUUCGGUUAACAAGUCAACAUCAAUUUCUUUUGUUGUAAAAGGGUAUGAGGAAGGUGGCUUUCUUUUCGGAGAAAGUGUUUAUAGCCUUGUGCCUCUGCAAUCGGAGAGAUUGAGGUCUGCAGCGUAGAUCCUUCGGGGUUAGAUACGUUUGUGCUAAGUUAUAGCUUUUCAUAGACAACUUGUUGACUAUGUUUAGUCUUGUAGCUUACUCGCUGACGCUAUUUUACCUACGCUUAGGAUGUUGAACUACUGAGACAUAGA
rnacentral:rRNA from 1 species